AGAAUGAUAUAGAAGAAUUCAGAGCACUUCAAAAUUAUGAAUACAGAAUACACAGAGAAAUUUUGGUAGUCAUUUCUGCCAUAUGAAAAGGAAACUAGAGAGAUGAAGGAGAUGUAAGGCCUGGAGAAAUGUGGAUGAGAGGACAGAAUGCUAAUAUCCAUUUAUCGAAGCUUUGCAAUUUCAUGAGGUCCCAUUAAGUGGAUAUUAUCCCCAAAGCUCAAAAUACACAAGAUACAAUUCAUAGACCACAUGAAGCUCAAGAAGAAGGAAGAACAAAGUGUGGAUGCUUCGGUCCUUCUUAGAAGUUAGAACAAAAUACUCAUGGGAGGAAAUACGGAGACAAAGUGUGGAACAGAGACUGAAGGAAAGGCCAUCCAGAGACUGCCACACCUGGAGAUCCAUCCCAUAUACAGUCACCAAACCCAGACACUAUUGUAACUGCUAACAAGUGCUUAUUGACAGGAGCCUGAUAUAGCUGUCUCCUGAGAGGCUCUGCCAGAGCCUGACAAAUACAGAGGUGGAUGUUCUUAGUCAACCAUUGGAAUGAGCACGGGGUCCCUGAUGGAGGAGUUAGAGAAAGGACUGAAGGAGCUGAAGGGGCUUGCAACCCCAUAAGAAGAACAACAAUAUCAACCAACCAGACCCCCCAGAGCUCCCAGGGACUAAACCACCAACCAAAAAGUAUACACGGAGGGACCCAUGGCUCCAGGUGCAUAUGUAGCAGAAGAUGGGC
rnacentral:lncRNA from 1 species